UACGGGGGGAGCAAGCGUUGUUCGGAUUUACUGGGCGUAAAGGGCGCGUAGGCGGUCAGCACAAGUCAGUUGUGAAAUCUCCGGGCUUAACUCGGAAAGGUCAACUGAUACUGUGCGACUAGAGUGCAGAAGGGGCAACUGGAAUUCUCGGUGUAGCGGUGAAAUGCGUAGAUAUCGAGAGGAACACCUGCGGCGAAGGCGGGUCUCUGGGCCGAUACUGACGCUGAGGAGCGAAAGCGUGGGGAGCAAACAGG
rnacentral:rRNA from 1 species